rnacentral:rRNA from 1 species
UACAGAGACCUCAAGCGUUAUCCGGAAUCAUUGGGCGUAAAGCGUGCCGAUAGGUGGUUUAGACAGUCUUGGGUAAAAGCCCGAAGCUCAACUUCGGAGUUUGCUUAAGAUACUUCUAAACUUGAGGGGCAAAGAGGAGACUGGAACGAACGGUGUAGUAGUGAAAUGCGUAGAUAUCAGGAGGAACACCGAUGGCGAAGGCAGGUCUCUGGGCUGACACUGACGCUCAUGCACGAAAGCGUGGGGAGCAAACAGG